rnacentral:rRNA from 1 species
UACGUAGGGCGCAAGCGUUGUCCGGAAUUAUUGGGCGUAAAGAGCUCGUAGGUGGCGUGUCGCGUCUGCCGUGAAAGCCCAUGGCUUAACUGUGGGUCUGCGGUGGAUACGGGCAGGCUGGAGGCUGGUAGGGGCAAGCGGAAUUCCUGGUGUAGCGGUGAAAUGCGCAGAUAUCAGGAGGAACACCGGUGGCGAAGGCGGCUUGCUGGGCCAGUUCUGACGCUGAGGAGCGAAAGCCAGGGGAGCAAACGGG